rnacentral:rRNA from 1 species
UACAGAGGGUGCGAGCGUUAAUCGGAAUUACUGGGCGUAAAGGGCGCGUAGGCGGUUAUAUAAGUUAGAUGUGAAAUCCCUGGGCUUAACCUAGGAACUGCAUCUAAUACUGUGUGACUAGAGUGUAGUAGAGGGUAGUGGAAUUUCCGGUGUAGCGGUGAAAUGCGUAGAUAUCGGAAGGAACACCAGUGGCGAAGGCGGCUACCUGGACUAACACUGACGCUGAGGCGCGAAAGCGUGGGGAUCAACAGG